rnacentral:misc_RNA from 1 species
UACGGAGGGUGCAAGCGUUAUCCGGAUUCAUUGGGUUUAAAGGGUACGUAGGCGGAAUAAUAAGUCAGUGGUGAAAGCCUGUAGCUUAACUACAGAAUUGCCAUUGAUACUGUUAUUCUUGAGUAUAGUUGAAGUGGGCGGAAUGUGUCAUGUAGCGGUGAAAUGCAUAGAUAUGACACAGAACACCUAUUGCGUAGGCAGCUCACUAAACUACUACUGACGCUGAGGUACGAAAGCGUGGGGAGCGAACAGG